GUACUUCCUUCGAAACAUUAUAUAUAUUAAAAUUGGAACGAUGCAGAGGAGAUUAGCUUGGCUCCUUCGCAAGGAUGACACGCACAAUCGUAAAGCGUUCCGCAUUCUU